AGCGAACGCUGGCGGCAGGCCUAAUACAUGCAAGUCGAACGCACCUUCGGGUGAGUGGCGGACGGGUGAGUAACGCGUGGGAACGUGCCCAAAGGUACGGAACAACUGAGGGAAACUUCAGCUAAUACCGUAUGUGCCCUUCGGGGGAAAGAUUUAUCGCCUUUGGAGCGGCCCGCGUUGGAUUAGCUAGUUGGUGGGGUAAAGGCCCACCAAGGCUACGAUCCAUAGCUGGUCUGAGAGGAUGAUCAGCCACACUGGGACUGAGACACG
rnacentral:rRNA from 1 species